rnacentral:rRNA from 1 species
CGGUUGACCUCGGAUCAGGCAGGGAUACCC